AGGGUUUUGCCAUAAUACUGCGCGUGAGCGGCAAAGCUCAAUUUGAAAGCUUCGGCAUUGUAAUUUGAAGACUUGGCAUUGGGAUAAAGCUAACCCAAGUUGCUUGGAACAGCACGUCAUAGAGGGUACAACCCCGUAUGGCUAACCGUUAUCCUAUGUAUUGCCUUGUCUAAGAGUCGAGUUGUUUGGGAAUGCAGCUCUAAGUGGGUGGUAAACUCCAUCUAAAGCUAAAUAUUGGCGAGAGACCGAUAGCGACAAGUACUGUGAAGGAAAGAUGAAAAGAACUUUGAAAAGAGAGUGAAAAAGUAUGUGAAAUUGUUGAAAGGGAAGGGAAAAAUUGGAGGCAUGCCUUAGGGUUCACUUCUGUUUCGGCAGGAGGUAUCCCGACGGCGGGUCAUCCAGGGGGAUUACCGCAGGAUAAACGGCUUGGAAUUGCUUGCAAGGCCUUGUCACCUACUGCGUGUAGCUCCUUUGGCUGACGUAAUCCAAUUUCUCCACCCGUCUUGAACAACGGGACCACUGCCGCCCAUUUUUAAAAGGAAAAAACCUCCUCUUUUUUUAAAAAAAAAAAACUUUCUUCUUCUUUUUAAAAAAAAAAAAAACCUUUUUUUUUUUUAAAAAAAAAAAAAAUUUUUUUUUUUUUUAAAAAAAAAAAUUUUCUUUUUUUUGUGAAAAAAGAAGAGAUCUGGUGGGGGGGUGGAGAAGACGCCAGGGUUGUUAUCGAAGAAGGAGGAGAGCAUAGAUAUGCUAAAACGGAGAAGGAGAGAGGAUCGAAAGAGCAACCAGCGCCUGAGGGAAAGAGAGCGAGCCUUUGUAUCGG
rnacentral:rRNA from 1 species